GGGAAUAUUGGACAAUGGGCGAAAGCCUGAUCCAGCCAUGCCGCGUGAGUGAUGAAGGCCUUAGGGUUGUAAAGCUCUUUUAGCAGGGAAGAUAAUGACGGUACCUGCAGAAAAAGCCCCGGCUAACUUCGUGCCAGCAGCCGCGGUAAUACGAAGGGGGCUAGCGUUGCUCGGAAUUACUGGGCGUAAAGCGCACGUAGGCGGACUCUUAAGUCGGUGGUGAAAUCCUGGAGCUCAACUCCAGAACUGCCUUCGAUACUGGGAGUCUUGAGUUCGGGAGAGGUGAGUGGAACUGCGAGUGUAGAGGUGAAAUUCGUAGAUAUUCGCAAGAACACCAGUGGCGAAGGCGGCUCACUGGCCCGAUACUGACGCUGAGGUGCGAAAGCGUGGGGAGCAAACA
rnacentral:rRNA from 1 species